rnacentral:rRNA from 1 species
GACGAACGCUGGCGGCGUGCUUAACACAUGCAAGUCGAGCGGUAAGGCCCUUUCGGGGGUACGACGAGCGGCGAACGGGUGAGUAACACGUGGGUGACCUGCCCUCAGCUCUGGGAUAAGCCUGGGAAACCGGGUCUAAUACUGGAUAUGACUCCAUGACGCAUGUUGUGGGGUGGAAAGCCUUGUGCGGCUGAGGAUGGGCCCGCGGCCUAUCAGCUUGUUGGUGGGGUGAGGCCUACCAAGGCGACGACGGGUAGCCGGCCUGAGAGGGCGACCGGCCACACUGGGACUGAGACACGGCCCAGACUCCUACGGGAGGCAGCAGUGGGGAAUCUUGCGCAAUGGGCGAAAGCCUGACGCAGCGACGCCGCGUGAGGGAUGACGGCCUU